AAAUAUCGCUUCUAUCAAAACGAUUAGACGAGAGAGCUUUUAUGUAGCGAUUUGAAUCUAGUCGGUGCAUCGAGGGAUAUUACCCGGAAAAAUCGGAAAGAAACGCGGGUAAAACGGGAACGUUUACCGACGUCAAGUCCGUAAGUCGGUUUCGUUUUUCUGCUGUGAUUCGGUUAAAAAUGAUUGUGAGAACUUGACCUUUUCAAUAAAUAUAGUGUCGA